rnacentral:rRNA from 1 species
UAAUACCGGAUGGCAUACGAAUAUCGCAUGAUAUUUUUAUUAAAGAAUUUCGGUUAUCGAUGGGGAUGCGUUCCAUUAGUUUGUUGGCGGGGUAACGGCCAACCAAGACUACGAUGGAUAGGGGUUCUGAGAGGAAGGUCCCCCACAUUGGAACUGAGACACGGUCCAAACUCCUACGGGAGGCAGCAGUGAGGAAUAUUGGUCAAUGGGCGAGAGCCUGAACCAGCCAAGUAGCGUGAAGGAUGAAGGCCCUAUGGGUUGUAAACUUCUUUUAUAUGGGAAUAAAGUUUUCCACGUGUGGAAUUUUGUAUGUACCAUAUGAAUAAGGAUCGGCUAACUCCGUGCCAGCAGCCGCGGUAAUACGGAGGAUCCGAGCGUUAUCCGGAUUUAUUGGGUUUAAAGGGAGCGUAGGUGGAUUGUUAAGUCAGUUGUGAAAGUUUGCGGCUCAACCGUAAAAUUGCAGUUGAAACUGGCAGUCUUGAGUACAGUAGAGGUGGGCGGAAUUCGUGGUGUAGCGGUGAAAUGCUUAGAUAUCACGAAGAACUCCGAUUGCGAAGGCAGCUCACUAGACUGUUACUGACACUGAUGCUCGAAAGUGUGGGUAUCAAACAGGAUUAGAUACCCUGGUAGUCCACACAGUAA